CCUACGGGAGGCAGCAGUGGGGAAUAUUGGACAAUGGGGGGAACCCUGAUCCAGCGACGCCGCGUGAGUGAAGAAGUAUUUCGGUAUGUAAAGCUCUAUCAGCAGGGAAGAAAAUGACGGUACCUGACUAAGAAGCCCCGGCUAACUACGUGCCAGCAGCCGCGGUAAUACGUAGGGGGCAAGCGUUAUCCGGAUUUACUGGGUGUAAAGGAUGCGUAGGCGGUUAAACAAGUUAUAUGUUAAAUAUAUAGGCUUAACCUGUAGAAAGCAUAUAAAACUGUUUAACUAGAGUGCAGGAGAGGUAAGUGGAAUUCCUAGUGUAGCGGUGAAAUGCGUAGAGAUUAGGAAGAACACCAGUGGCGAAGGCGACUUACUGGACUGUAACUGACGUUGAGGCACGAAAGCGUGGGGAGCAAACAGGAUUAGAUACCCUGGUAGUC
rnacentral:rRNA from 1 species